CUAUAGGGUUGCAAACCCCUUCAGUGAAAGACCCCCAAAGGGAGACCCUCACUCAGGCACUCAAGUCCCGGGACAGCCGCGGACCCAAGAAGACACUGAGACCA
rnacentral:pre_miRNA from 7 species